AUACUUACCUGGCAGGGGAGAUACCAUGAUCACGAAGAUGGUUUUCCCAGGGCGAGGCUUAUCCAUUGCACUCCGGAUGUGCUGACCCCUGCGAUUUCCCCAAAUGUGGUAAACUCGACUGCAUAAUUUGUGGUAGUGGGGGACUGCGUUCGCGCUUUCCCCUG
ensembl:snRNA U1 U1 spliceosomal RNA